CCGUUAACCUGGGCUCGAAAUGCAGGAGACCGGGUAGAAUAUCCCUUCCGCAAGGACUGCUGUAUAGGUGCUGCAUGGCUGUCGUCAGCUCGUGUCGUGAGAUGUUGGUUAAGUCCGCAACGAGCGCAACCCUUAUCCCUAGUUGCCAUCGGGUCAAGCCGGGCACUCUAGUGAAACCGCCCCGGAUAACGGGGAGGAAGGUGGGGAUGACGUCAAGUCCUCAUGGCCUUUAUGUCCAGGGCUACACACGUGCUACAAUGGUCGGUACAAACCGUCGCAAACCCGCAAGGGGGAGCUAAUCGGAAAAAGCCGGCCUCAGUUCGGAUUGAAGUCUGCAGCUCGACUUCAUGAAGCUGGAAUCGCUAGUAAUCGCAGAUCAGAACGCUGCGGUGAAUACGUUCCCGGGCCUUGUACACACCGCCCGUCACAUCACGAAAGUGGGCCGUACUAGAAGUCGGUGCGCUAACCGCAAGGAGGCAGCCGCCCAAGGUACAGCUCAUGAUUGGGGUGAAGUCGUAACAAGGUAAGCGUAGUGCU
rnacentral:rRNA from 1 species